rnacentral:tRNA from 3 species
GGAGAGAUGUCCGAGUGGUUUAAGGAGCAUGCCUGGAAAGCGUGUGUAGGGGAAACCCUACCGAGGGUUCGAAUCCCUCUUUUUCCGCCA